rnacentral:rRNA from 1 species
GAUGAACGCUAGCUACAGGCUUAACACAUGCAAGUCGGGGGGAAACGAUAGAGAAAGCUUGCUUUUUCUAGGCGUCGACCGGCGCACGGGUGAGUAACGCGUAUCCAACCUGCCCAUCACUUGGGGAUAACCUUGCGAAAGUAAGACUAAUACCCAAUGACGUCUCUAGAAGACAUCUGAAAGAGAUUAAAGAUUUAUCGGUGAUGGAUGGGGAUGCGUCUGAUUAGCUUGUUGGCGGGGUAACGGCCCACCAAGGCGACGAUCAGUAGGGGUUCUGAGAGGAAGGUCCCCCACAUUGGAACUGAGACACGGUCCAAACGCCUACGGGAGGCAGCAGUGAGGAAUAUUGGUCAAUGGGCGAGAGCCUGAACCAGCCAAGUAGCGUGCAGGAUGACGGCCCUAUGGGUUGUAAACUGCUUUUAUAAGGGAAUAAAGUGAGUCUCGUGAGACUUUUUGCAUGUACCUUAUGAAUAAGGACCGGCUAAUUCCGUGCCAGCCGCCGCUGUAA